GACGAACGCUGGCGGCGUGCUUAACACAUGCAAGUCGUGCGGAAAGGCCCUUCGGGGUGCUCGAGCGGCGAACGGGUGAGUAACACGUGAGUGACCUGCCCUUGACUUUGGGAUAACCCUCGGAAACGGGGGCUAAUACCGGAUAUGACUCAUCGGUGCAUGCUGGUGGGUGGAAAGCCGUAAGGCGGUUGGGGAUGGGCUCGCGGCCUAUCAGCUUGUUGGUGGGGUGAUGGCCUACCAAGGCGACGACGGGUAGCCGGCCUGAGAGGGCGACCGGCCACACUGGGACUGAGACACGGCCCAGACUCCUACGGGAGGCAGCAGUGGGGAAUAUUGCACAAUGGGCGCAAGCCUGAUGCAGCGACGCCGCGUGAGGGAUGACGGCCUUCGGGUUGUAAACCUCUUUCAGCGGGGACGAAGCCGCAAGGUGACGGUACCCGCAGAAGAAGCGCCGGCCAACUACGUGCCAGCAGCCGCCGUAAGAC
rnacentral:rRNA from 1 species